rnacentral:rRNA from 1 species
AAAAUUAAUUUUGAAAUAUGUUUUCAUAGUAAUAAAAUUUUACAUGCAACAGGUUUUAAAUCGCAGUAUAAAAAAUUUUUAGAAAAAUUGAAUUGAAUAUUUUAAGCUAAAUAAGUGCCAGCAGCUGCGGUUAUACUUACUAAAAAAUGUAAAAAAGUUUUAUGAUAAUAAAAAAUAAAUUUAGAAUUUUAGUUGUGAAAAUUUUUUAAGUUUAUUUUUUUUAUAUUUCGAAAAAUUUUUUUAAACCGGGGUUAGACGCCCGCUAUAGAAUUUUUUAAUUAAAAAAAGCAGUAAAAAAUUAUUUUAGAAACUUAAAAAAAAUUGGCAGUAGUUUAUUCCUUUCAGAGGAGUUUGGGGCUUAAUAUAAUAUUCCUUAAUCUAUCUUUCCUGUGUUUAUUUUUUGUGUGGUUGUUUAAAUAAAUUUUUAAUGAUAAGUUUUAAUUCAGAUUACAUGAAAAUAUAAAUAGGCGCUACCUUAAUUACUUUAAUAAAAAUUUUUGUAUUAUAAAAAUGAAAAAGGAUUUGAAGGUAAAUUUUUUUUAAAAAAUAAAAUUGAGCGGGUUUUAAAUUGUGCACAUAUUGUCCGUCGCUCUCUAACGAGAUAAGUCGUAGCAAAGUAAAAGUUUUAGAAAAAGCUUUUU